UAUAAAGUUUUGAAGGGAACUAAGUAUUGUUUAUCUCACUAUUUUAGAGAGCUGAUGGCCGGUGUAAAUCAGUAUAAAGAUAAACUUGAAUUUCAAUCCUGGAGCUUCUUUUCCGAGUUUUUGCGAAGGAAAAGCCGGUCGAAAUGAUCGUUAACAAUGAUGAGUGGUAGAUGAAUUUUAUCAUCUACAAUUAGGGUGGUACCGCGAUAAUUAUCGUCCCUACU
rnacentral:ncRNA from 1 species